UGCCAGCAGCCGCGGUAAUACGAAGGGGGCUAGCGUUGUUCGGAAUCACUGGGCGUAAAGCGCGCGUAGGCGGAUGAUCAAGUCAGAGGUGAAAUCCCGGGGCCCAACCCCGGAACUGCCUUUGAAACUGAUUGUCUAGAGACUCGGAGGGGACAGUGGAAUUCCAAAUGUAGGGGUGAAAUCCGUAGAUAUUUGGAGGAACACCAGCGGCGAAGGCGGCUGUCUGGACGAGUACUGACGCUGAGGUGCGAAAGCGUGGGGAGCAAACAGGAUUAGAUA
rnacentral:rRNA from 1 species